rnacentral:lncRNA from 1 species
AGAUUUCUGAGUUCAAGGCCAGCCUAGUCUAUAGAGUGAGUUCCAGGAAAUCCAGGGCUACACAGAGAAACCCUGUCUGGAAAAGAAAAGAGAAAAAGAAAAGAAAAGAAAAGAAAAUAGACUUCUCUAGGAAUACUGCAUCCUUUUAGACAAGUUCAACAGGAAAAAAACAUAAACUUUAACAAAGAGAAAAUGAAACAGUGGGAAUGAGUCAUUUAGUACUGUGGAAGAAAAAUAGAAAUAGGGAUCUUGUUGGAAACAAUAGACUGUGGUUCUCACACCUACUACCCACCAACAGUCUCUUUUACCACAUCCACAACCUGUGAACUCCCCUAUACCUAUGUGUAGAGUGAGGCCAUGACAUGUCACUAAUACACCAGCUGCUGGUCUAUGUCUUACACGUGAAAAUCAUGAGAAAGAGAUUUCUUUAAAAUAGCAUCCUCAGGAAGAACUGAAAUGACCAGACCUCACACCACUACUACCAUCAAUAAUGGGCCUGUUCUCCACUAGCAGUCACCAUGGCCCUUCCUGCUUCCUGCCUGCACCUGUGUGAUAUCAGAAGAAUCAAAUGCGUAAGUCUUUUCUCAGAAGAUGUGAUUAAAGGAUGUGGCUAAAAGAAUAAGAGAAAAGGCUAGGCUAGGCAAGGAUCUACCACAAGUCCUGCACAGCAGCAUGGGGGCUUUAAUUUCUCUAGAAUCUUGAUUAAAUGUCAACUCUGCAUUCUAAAGGAUAGGGACAAAGGAAGAGACAUGUGAACAUUUGUGCAAACUACUUAAGUCUUGCAGUCAUAGCUGCCCAGAUAUCAGAUUUAUAACAGUAGCAAAACCUAGAGUUAUGAAGUAGCAACUAAAAUAAGCGUAGGGUUGGGGUCAACACAACACGAGGAACUGUAUUAAAGUCGCCAUGUUAGGAAGCUUGAGGACCAUUGGGAUAAGGCCGAGGAUUCUGGGAUAUGAAGCACUGUCUUUCUGCUCCCUCUUCAAAUUUGUGCCUGAGAAUGUCAGCUAUUUCAUCCGCUGCUAUUGCUGCUUCAUCAUCUCCAUAAACUCAAACCUCACGAAUCUCUAGGGGCCUGGUUGUCUUACAUAGUUUCCACUUUGUAAGAAGACAGUUUACCAACAAAUGUGAAUGUAAUCAGAAGUGGGUGAAAUGGCCACGUAUAGUUUAAACCAUAAUCUGUUCUGGCUGUCUCAUGUAAGUGUGAAGGAAACAUUGAUUAAAAAAAACAAAACUUACUGAAAGUAGCUUCUUCUCUCAUACAGUACAUCCCACACUGUGACAGUGGCUAACAAUCACACUCAUAUUUUAUUUCUACCUGUGACAGUCUGAAUGAAAUGGCCCCCAUAGGCCCAUAAGGAGUGGCACUAUUAGGAAGUGUGGCCUUUUUAAGGAAGUUUGUCAGUGUCAGGUUGACUUUGAGAUUCAGAUGCUCAAGCC